GUUGGUUGGAUCCCUGCUUCGGCAGCGACGUCCCCCGUGCAAGCCUCUUCAAUUUUCGGCCCAAGAACGAGUUAGCCUUGGCCGUUUGUCGGUUUCCUGUGUUGUAUACCUACUAUAAUGGAAUUCGAAUGUCCAACAUUUUACAAUUCGCCUUGUGCCGUCCCAUCGGUUGUCCCUUUGGGGUGCGGUGUCGGGUGAACCUCGAAGCAAUCUUCAUGUUCUUCGUCACCCACGAAAUGUGUUGUCGGCGCGGCCCAUGAAGAUUGCUUGAGCUCUCGGAUGCGGAAUAUGCAGAGGGUAGUAGGCUUAUGGCCUCUCUUUGCCCGAAUCAAGCGUUUAUUCGCUCAUUACCGAACGACGGCCGGCGGUGCCUUGAUGUGCUGGAGCCCUCGGUUUUGGCAUCAUCAUGUGCCGCUGGCGUCAGUAAGGAAUGCUACCUGGUUGAUCCUGCCAGUAGUCAUAUG
rnacentral:misc_RNA from 1 species